rnacentral:lncRNA from 10 species
AGGCUUCCAUUGACGACCAGCUUUGGCUGUUCCAACUCACCACAGCCUCUGAAAGACCCAUGCUCUCUUUGGAUUGCUUGGUACCUGCAGCACGUUUCCAUGCCUGGGAGGUAAGGACCACAAGUCUCAGAAGAGUAGGAAGUGCCCAGCAUCACACAGGAAGCAAGUUACAGAACCAAGGGCUCUGUUCAUAAACUGUUCAACAUCUUUUAUCACAUAAGGGGAGGUGCCCGCAACGAUGGCCUGCUGCAGAAUACAGAGUGGCUUUUUCAUGUUUGAUGGGUUGUAAGAAACAAAAAGCCAACUAUGGCAUCUAUGAAGACUAUGCAACAGAGACUAUUUAUAUUCUGGGAUAAUCUAGCAAAUGAGCUGCGCAUCAAAAUAAUGGAUUAGUGGUUUAAAAACGUGUUCACUGUUAAAAGGAAAACAUGAAAAUGAUGAAAGCUA